GUGCCAGCCGCCGCGGUAAGACGAACCACACGAACGUUAUUCGGAAUUACUGGGCUUAAAGGGUGCGUAGGCUGUGCGGAAAGUUAGGUGUGAAAUCCCCCGGCUCAACCGGGGAAUUGCGCUUAAAACUACCGUGCUAGAGGAAUACAGAGGUAAGCGGAACUUCGGGUGGAGCGGUGAAAUGCGUUGAUAUCCGAAGGAACACCGGUGGCGAAAGCGGCUUACUGGGUAUUUUCUGACGCUGAUGCACGAAAGCUAGGGGAGCAAACGGGAUUAGAAACCCGGGUAGUCC
rnacentral:rRNA from 1 species